rnacentral:rRNA from 1 species
UACGUAGGUGGCAAGCGUUGUCCGGAAUUAUUGGGCGUAAAGCGCGCGCCGGCGGUCCUUUAAGUCUGAUGUGAAAGCCCACGGCUCAACCGUGGAGGGUCAUUGGAAACUGGGGGACUUGAGUACAGAAGAGAAGAGUGGAAUUCCACGUGUAGCGGUGAAAUGCGUAGAGAUGUGGAGGAACACCAGUGGCGAAGGCGACUCUUUGGUCUGUAACUGACGCUGAGGCGCGAAAGCGUGGGGAGCAAACAGG